UUGCACGAUAUUCAAAUUUUUCGAGUUUCACCUGUAUAACCCCACUGCAUUAACUACAUACAUUUAGAUUCAGUUUCAUGACUUCUGUUUUCUUGCUGCCCUAUUAGUAUAAAUGGCAGAAGUUAUAUUCUGCCCAUGUACUGAAAGGAAGCCCUGGGGCACAUAUUGUCACAUGCUCCACAUUUAUAAGUGUGGCUUCUGUUUUUGGCAUCUUUUCAUUUUUGCUGUUAUUUUUUAACUUGGUAUGAUUCGAUAUGUCAGAAACGUGCCCAAAUUUAUGAAGCACAUGCAGUAUUUUCAACAUAAAGCAUCAGACCUGUUUUACAUUCCAUUUUUUGUUGAUCAUGUUUCAAAACCCUUGUCACAUUCACAUAUAUCCACGUGCCAGUUUUUCUGUUCCAGAUCCAGUGGCACCCAACAGAACCCAGCCGAUAAGGAGUUUGUGGCCCUGAUGGGGAAAAAAAAAAAAAAAAGGUUCUGCAUGCGGUGCUGUCAUGUCCUAAUGAUGUAAUAUGUGACGGAGUCUCUGACGCAGAUGUGAGAAUAGUGUUAAUUUGGUACACUUCCACAAGUUUUGCAACUCAUUUUCAAAAUGACAUUAGUACAUGUACAGUAAAAUGGUGUAUACAUAAAAAUACCAUAUAUCCUGUCUUAUCCGGCAUGAUUUAAAUCUUAUGUAUGAAUGUAAAUACAAUUCAGGAUUUGGCAGCAGGAUUUCAAUUUGCCCAAUCAUUUUCUCCUCAAAUUAUAUAAUCUACCCCUCUCUCCAUUAACAGAGAUUUCUGCUACCGGAAAUUUGACAGCCUUCUAAGCAAAGAUUUUAUUCAAUGCCAGUCUUGAAAGUGUAUUACAAACUUCAUUUUAUAGUUCUAUUUUCAAUCUGUGAAUUUACAUCAAUUUAACAUUAUUCAGUGACACGGUCUUAAUUUCUCAAUUUGUCUACAACAGUAUUGGUGUUGAGACCAUGUCUGAGGAUGGAGAUCAUCUGAAUGAACCUUAUUUGUAAGAUUUCGAGAAAAUCUGGGUGACUGCUUCACUGAGAAGCCACCAGACAGCUGAUUCUACUUUAUCUUGACUUCUUGAUAAUAUAAAUUUUAUUGGCAUGACACAUAACCCAAUACCAGUAAUGUGGUCAGAUCUUUUAUCCUGCAUCUAAAUAUUCACCAAAUGACAGCAGGAUUCCUCUAAGCCGUAGAAGUGCCCAGUGUUUUGGGACAAUCAAAUGUCCCAUGAUUAAUGUAAAAAAUGAAAAUCGGACAUCAUCAUAGAGUUCAUGACAAUCUCUUUCUAACAAAGCUACAAUCAACCCUGUGCCUGCCAUGGAUCCAGAGCUUCCUUCAUUCAUUACUCCAAUUGGUCUGCUACAUUUAUUUCAAGUUGGCAGCUCAACGGUUGUGUCCUUUCUUCUGCGGCUCUCACAGCUUCUAACAGUAAAUUCGGCUGGUAGCUGUUAAAGAAUGAGCAGAGCUGAGCAUGUGUGACCACCUCGGUGUGCUUCAGCAGGGGGCACAAUAAAGAUACAUUUUAUUAAAUAACUCGGUGGCUAUACUUAAAUAUUAAUUACGUGUUGGUGUUGGUUUCUAAGAUAGAAUAAUUUUCAUGGGACAACCCAUUUCAUUGACAACCCAUGUCUAUGUUUUCUUAUUGGGGCAUAUGUUUUCACCUCAUGAUCCCUACUCUAUGAGCCAGAGUAGAGAGCCAUUGUUAAGCAGUGGUUUUUGAUUUGGGCUGUCCAUGAAUAACCUGGAUGGCCACUUACAUUCCCUCUGCAGUGGAAAUGUUUAGAUGGCAGCUGAGCACCGCGACAGAUCUUAUAUUAAAGAGGUUGUCUGUGGUGAAACAACCCAUUUCAGUGUCAGUGGUGGGAAAUGUCUAAGGCAUUUUUAGAUGUUUUGCAGGGUGAUCAUGACAAACUAGAGGUGGCCCAUUAAGUAUUAUAGGGGAUUUUUGCUAACUCUUUUAUAUAAGGUACACAAUAAGCAGACUACAAAUACCUGUGAAAAUGAAAUUUUAAUGUCAUGUGCCAAAUGAUAAUUAGUUGCCAAGUGUCUAGUUUGCAUGUAAAGGGGUAUUCUGGUUAGAUUGUUAUCCCCUAGCCACAGGAUGGAGGUAACUAUUCAAUUGGUUGGGUUCCUACUGCUGAGACCCCCACCGAUGAUGGGAACAGGGCCCCCGUACGCCCUGCAGGCCCCCCUGAAAUGAACAGAGCGGCCAGUCUUAAAUGCGUGUAUUCGGCUAUCUCUGGAAUUCCCAUCUAAAUUAAACGAGCGGCUGCACGCAUGCUUGACCAGUCGCUCCGUUCAUUUCAAGGUAGCUGCAGGAGGUAUGGGGUUCCCAUUCUAAUUAUUGAUGGGGCCCCCAGCGGUAGGACCCCCAUGAUAAUAGUUAUCCUCUAUCCUGUGGAUAGGGGAUAACCUAAUAUAACAGGUAUGCCCUGGCCUCUUGAUUGUAAACCUUCCCACUUGCUCUUCAGUGGCGGGUCUAGUGGCUCACUCCAUCAUAGGAUGAAUGUAACCCAGGAGACCACUGUGGCUUUCACUCUUGAGCAAAGGAGAGGAUAGCAGGGAGGGUUUACAGCAUACACACUUGAAUGUUAGCUGGCAUCUACUUGGCAUCUAAUUAGCAUAUGGUGGAUUUAGCUGUUUCGGGGUGCCAACAAUGAUGACAGAUUGUCUUUAUAUGAUGACAGAUUGUCUUUAUAUAGAUGUCCCCUUAACCACACACUCGCUGAGUGAUUCGGAUUUACUGUUUAUAGCAAGUCAUUAUUGUUAUAUAUUUGCCGAAUAUUAUCUUUUUAUUGUUUGUAAGGGUACUUUCACACUUGCGUUUUUCUUUUCCGGCAUAGAGUUCCGUCACAGGGG